rnacentral:tRNA from 1 species
GGGGAAUUAGCUCAAAUGGUAGAGUCCUUGCUUAGCAUGCAAGGGUUAGUGGGUUUGAUACCCUCAUUCUCCA